CCACCACACCUCCACCUACAUCCACACCUCCACCUACAUCCACACAUCCAUCUACAUCCACACCUCCUCCUGGUUCCCCUCUCAUACCUGUGUUGUCAUCUGUUGGAUCAGCCUGUGUUGUGGUUUUACUGGUGUUACUGGCUCUGCUGGUGAGAACAUGUGUUCACAGGAAACCUGAAGAGACUGAUUCAGCUGUGAUCUACUCAGUAGUGAGAACUGAAGACGUCAGUUAUGGACAAACAACCAUCAGAACAAGGAGGCCCAGACUUUAAACCAGAGCCAGACAUCGUCUACUCUUCAUUGAAGUAGUCCACCAGUCCAACCACUGACGUCCAGCUGCUGGUCCCUAACUGGUCCCCCCAGUACCUCAGACCAGAGGACAUCCACGUGUUCAAGAUUUUUAUAUGUUUUAUGUCUUUUUAUCACUGAAUUAGACUCUGAUGACCCAGAAAUACUUACUAGAAGUCAGUUCUUGACUUGAUGUUUGUUGGCUUUUGUUCCCACAGCAGUUUCUCUGCAGGAUUAAUAAAUGUUUGGUCUCAGAUGUUUUCCUCCUGUGGUUCUGUGGGUUUCACAAAGGUUUCAAAUAGAAAAUUUGACUUGUUCCAGUUUGGUUGUGGUUAAUUG